UCCCUGGUGGCCCAGAGGUUAAAGUGUCUGCCUGCAAUUCAGGAGACCCAGGUUCAAUCCCUGGGUCGGGAA
rfam:TPA: Bos taurus chromosome 4, whole genome shotgun sequence.